CACUUGUGGCCCUGAAUUAGGCUACGAAUCAUUCAGAUGUCCAUAGAUCAGAGCACCGAGUGUAGACGUAGCCUCUCCUCUGUUCUCUGCUGAUGCACGUGUGACACAGCAAUGCCUCUGGGGCAGGUGUGAUUUAAAGAGUAAGGGCGAGGCUUCUAGGUCAGACAUAGUGUUUGACUGACAUGUAAGGACCUGAGUUCCAUCCUCACCGUUACAGAAAAGGAGCAUAAAAGAAAAUGCUAGGAACAAUUGCUUCUGACAAGAGAAGGUCUCGUCACAAACACACUCUUAACAAUGAGAAGUAUGUUUUCCUUAAUUGUUCUAAUUCAGGGCCAUCUGCUUUUUAGAAAUUCAGUCAAACUUGUUAAAAUGUGAUCAGACAUAAUAGGUAGAGUUAUUUUAAUAAUCAUUCUGUGUAUUGUACUCCUUUCUGCUUUUAAGUGUAUAUGUCAGUGUGACUGCACAGUGUUACAUCACCUUUUGUUUUCCUUGUAGAUUUAUUCCUUACAACAUUGUCUGCCUCUAAUACCUUCCAGUUUGAGAUAUGGGAAAAUUUGGGUGGAAACUUCUCUAUCCGUAGUGUCUUUGAAAAACCUAAAAAUCUGGUGGUGGUUGGACAGUCAGCAUUCGCAGACUUUGAUGGAGAUGGACACAUGGAUCACUUGCUGCCAGGCUGUGAAGAUAAGGACUGUCAGAAAAGUGCCAUUUAUUUAAUGAGAUCAGGAACAGGACAGUGGGCUCCUGUGCUUCAGGAUUUUAGCAAUAAGGGCACACUCUGGGGCUUUGUCCCAUUCGUGCAUGAAGAGCGGCCAACUGCAAUUCCAGUUCCACUCACACUUCACAUUGGAGACUACAACAUGGACGGCUACCCUGAUGCUCUGGCCAUAUUAAAGAAUACAUCUGGAAGCAAUCAGCAAGGCA
rnacentral:sRNA from 1 species